rnacentral:lncRNA from 1 species
AUUUGAUUAGUCACAGGCUGAGUCACUUUCUUUGCACACUGCAUUGGAUUGUCUGAGUUACUUUAUGCCAUACGAAGGCAGGAAGAAGGCAGCAGGAGCUUUGUUCGGUUAAACAUAAGCCAAGUCAAGAGGACUUGAGGGGAUCUGGCACCUUGCAGGAUGAAGCCUAAGAACAGCUACGGUGAGGCAAGUGGGUCCCUCCAAGAGUCCCAGCAGGCACAAGCAGGUCCCCCUGUUUCCUUGGAGUCAGGAUCACCUUGGCUGCUGGCAUAUCUUCCUAUAAAAAGCUGCCAUGUAAUCUUAAAAGAUGAUUUUGGGAAAUUUUCUCCUCCACACAGUGGGAUUCAAACCAAUAUCUGGUGCAACUGGACUAUUUGGGCAGGCCCUAGAAAGCAUAUCUUGAUUUACAUCAAAGGAUUUCAGGGAAAUGGGGAUUGUGAUGAGAAUUGGGAUAAAAUAAUUUUUCAAGGGGUCAUGUCAAAUGUGGAAAGGAAGAUGGCUUAUGCCUGCAAGAACCAAGGUACUUUAAUCUUUGCUGCUCGGGCCUUGGCAGUCCAUAUAGUAUUUUUAUCAGGGAGAAAUUUCCUAAGCCAGGAAUACAAAUUUAAGGGAGAGUAUUAUACAUUCAAAGACUAUGAAACUGCAGACUCCAUAGAUGUUGCUUCUGAGCAGGGUCUUAAACUGCAGUCUAGGAAAACUAGUUCUAGUGGUAUCCUACUUCACCCUAAAUUGCCAAAAGUACACUCCCGACGCCUGGGCUUCCAAAAAACUACUACAGCUCCUAAUGAUCCAAAUAAAUUGCACAAGCUGCCCACAGACCAAGAAGCUGGAAAAGCUACAAACUUAGAAAUUCUCAGAAACCAGAUUCUUCAUAAUAACUUGCAUGCCUAUCUCUCUCAAGCCAUGGACAGCACCACAUCACCCACUCCCUUCCCAAAGGGGGAGAAGCCUAUGAAUUUGGGGGAUAACAAAAACUAUAGUAGGGAAGAGAAGCCUUCUGACUUUCUAAAGAAAACUCCAGGUCUAAAUAUCUCUGUGGUGAGUGCCACAAAAGAUGAGAAAAGGCCGGUGCUUGUUUUUCGUAGACUUCCGUACAGGGUAACCAUCCAUUCAGACUGGCUGUUCAAACCUUUGGGUAUGAAACAACCCAAAAAAUCCACUGAAGUAGAAAGUGUAAGCACUUCCAGAAAACUGGGACCACAGCAUGACUCGGCAGUUCACCGGAGACCAGCUGGCCCAGAAGAUCUGCAGUCUGACGUGAGACCGUAUGAAGCUGAAAUUUCUACCUCUCGUCAUGCCUAUCAGUCUUUAGAGGGAAUGAGGGAGAGAACUCAAACCGUUGCUCCUCAGACUUUCAGAGUUGACCUACCCAAGGACCAAAAGACGCUGCAGGCCAAUGCUGUGGAUUUGCAGGGAGUGAUUCAUGACCACAUUCGUUCGCUGGAAGACUCUUGGUCUAACGCUGACCUGACCAAGGGGAUUAAAGAAGCAACUGGUCAAUUGCAACACAUAACAGAGUUGGAGAGAAAUGUUAAAAAGAGCAGUACUGAUCAGGAAGCCUUUGGAGAUGACAAUGGCAAAGCUAAUCUGUACUUUAAGUCAGCUGUUGCCUAUACAGAAAUGAAACUUGGUGUCCAGUCUCUUACCUCGGAAACAUCAAAGCCUGAUAUCAAAACCGAGUCAGUUCUGAGUCCUGCAACUGUACAGAACACCCUGGAUGUUUCUUCCCUGAAGGCAUCUAGCAGUUACUGGGCAGACGCCACUGAAUUUUGGGGUGUUGCGAGGAACGUCCAGAGUGACCUGUUGGUGGCUGAAGCAGCUACCUCUACCCUACAUGUUGACAGUAGAAUAACCAGAAUGAAAGAGCAUCUGCUACUCGCAAGCACAAAAUCUUAUCCUUUCUCCCCCUCCUUUGAUGGGAUAACAAAGCAUAUUGAAUCUCCAGAAGAAGAUGCGCAUGAUUCCUCUGAUUUGGCUUCUCUCCUGGCAUCUCUUGAAAAUGAUACCACUCUAGAAUCCCAGCAUAAGCCCGGUGAUAUCUUAUUUGAAGUCACUACUGAAAUGAAACAUGAGAUACGGAUCCCACAGAGUAGAAAAAAGAUGAAAAAGGCUCUCCUCGAGUCCAUGAAGCUUUACAUACAAGAGAACCUGAAACUCUCUGCAAGCAAAGUCAACAAAAUAAAGUUGAAGGAAAUAAAGAGGACAAAUGACCAAAACCUGAGGCUUACCUUCUGGCUUCACUUAAAACCAGAAGAAAGGAAUAUAUCUCUCUUACUACAUUCUCAGCUGAAAGAACUCAUUGGAAGAUCUGUGGGAGAAAAGAAAUUGCAGCUGACAUCACUGUCAGUUGAAGAUGUGAAUGAAUGCAACUCUGGAAUUGGAAUCUGUGGUGACGAGGCAGACUGCUUCAAUGGAGUUGGCACUUACUUAUGUCGUUGUAAAAAAGAGUAUGAAGAUCAUUCUCCCACAAAAUCUGGCACACUGUGUAUCCGUGUUCCACGAUCAGAUCUUGGCAGCUUGUUCAGUUACGUGGAAAUUCUGAUAGGUGCCAUCAUAUCUGUCGCACUGAUUCUUGUGGUGGCGGUUAGCAUUACAUGCAUGGUAGUAAAGAAAAGACGUACAAAGAAGGACUUCUGUCUCCAGGAAUCUUCUCCAAGUGGGACACCUUACACAGCACAGUCACCACCCCAGGUGCCUGCUGUUGAUCUGAGUAACCUUGGUGACUACCUGGCCCGAGACCCCUUUCAGCCAAAACUUCGCGCCAGACCUCCCGAAUGGACCUUGCGGAUGCGAGACAACCCAAAUGAGGCAUACAGGAUUUUUGUUGAGCAGUCUGAAUGUCUGUAAAGUAAAGCUGCAUUGCCAAUUUGAGAUUUUUGAGCAGGAUAAGCUCUGACACCAGUAUAAAGCUUUCCUGCUGCUGCUAUCCCCCCCGCACCCCCUCACAGCAACAAAACUCCUAACAAUCCUGUGAGUCUUUUUCCACUUGUCCUCAGUCCCUAUUGCUCAGGGUAUAGCGCUGUUUCUCCCAGGAGACUCCUAAUUCUUGGUUGGGUUUUUAAUCCCUAUACUAUCUGGCUUUGCACACGAGACUACUUGUAAUCUGAAAGAGUUGCACUUUUUUGCAGGCAACCUGUUAAGUAAGUAAAGCUGCUAUCUUGCUGUUCAUGUAAACAAGGGACAUGUUUCUGUUGGAGUUAAAUGUGUGGCACAGGGGAAGGAUGGAAGGCUGGAAGGCUUAAACUAAUGGAAAAAUUAAAAAAAAAAAAAAAAGAAAGUCAAGCAAGUUGCAUCCCCUCUGAGCAAAUAAAUAGGCAAAACCAACAAGCUGUACUGAGCUG